rnacentral:rRNA from 1 species
AUUGAACGCUGGCGGCAGGCUUAACACAUGCAAGUCGAGCGGUAGCACAGGGGAGCUUGCUCCCUGGGUGACGAGCGGCGGACGGGUGAGUAAUGUCUGGGAAACUGCCUGAUGGAGGGGGAUAACUACUGGAAACGGUAGCUAAUACAGCAUAACGUCGCAAGACCAAAGAGGGGGACCUUCGGGCCUCUUGCCAUCAGAUGUGCCCAGAUGGGAUUAGCUAGUAGGUGGGGUAAUGGCUCACCUAGGCGACGAUCCCUAGCUGGUCUGAGAGGAUGACCAGCCACACUGGAACUGAGACACGGUCCAGACUCCUACGGGAGGCAGCAGUGGGGAAUAUUGCACAAUGGGCGCAAGCCUGAUGCAGCCAUGCCGCGUGUGUGAAGAAGGCCUUCGGGUUGUAAAGCACUUUCAGCGAGGAGGAAGGUGGUGAACUUAAUACGUUCAUCAAUUGACGUUACUCGCAGAAGAAGCACCGGCUAACUCCGUG